rnacentral:rRNA from 1 species
GUCUACGACCAUGCUACCCUGAACAAGCCCGAGCCCGUCUGAUCUCGGAAGCUAAGCAGGGUCAGACCUGGUUAGUAUUUGGAUGGGAGACCAUCUGGGAAGACCACGUGCUGUAGGUG